UCCGAGUUGACCCCGGCAGUCUCCUACGAGUCCCCGGCAUAACCCGCUGGUAACAUAGGACAAGGGUUGCGCUCGUUGCGGGACUUAACCCAACAUCUCACGACACGAACUGACGACAGCCAUGCACCACCUGUGCAGGACCCCGAAGGACACCGUAUCUCUACGGCUUUUCCCUGCAUGUCAAGCCUUGGUAAGGUUCUGCGCGUUGCUUCGAAUUAAACCACAUGCUCCACCGCUUGUGCAGGCCCCCGUCAAUUUCUUUGAGUUUUAACCUUGCGGCCGUACUCCCCAGGCGGAUGACUUAACGCGUUAGCUGCGCCACCGAAACUCCAUGAGCCCCGACAGCUAGUCAUCAUCGUUUACGGCGUGGACUAC
rnacentral:misc_RNA from 1 species